rnacentral:rRNA from 1 species
GCCCAGCCGUAAACUUUAAAUUACAUCCUCAUCGCCUGGGAACUACGAGCCAAGCUUAAAACCCAAAGGACUUGACGGUACCCCAUAUCCACCUAGAGGAGCCUGUCCUAUAAUCGAUAACCCCCGCUUAACCUCACCAUUUUUAGUAUAACAGUCUAUAUACCUCCGUCGUCAGCUUACCGCGUGAGUGACCCUCAGUGAGCUUAAUGUCUUUACAUCAGUACGUCAGGUCAAGGUGCAGCAAAUGAAAUGGGAAGAGAUGGGCUACACUCUCUAACAUAGAGGAUACGAAGGACUAUGUAUGAAAUUUAGUCGGAAGGCGGAUUUAGAAGUAAAAAGAGACUAUAGAGCUUUUUUUAAUACGGCACUGGGGUGUGUACACACCGCCCGUCACCCUCCUCAAAGCCUAAAGACAGUAUUUAACACAAUGAUAGCUUACUAGAAGAGGCAAGUCGUAACAUGGUAAGUGUACCGGAAGGUGCACUUGGAAA